ACAAUCAGAACGUCUAUUUCUCUUUCUUUCACCAGCUUCGUUUCUUUCUCUCACAUGGCCGAAAUAACUCCGCCUUCGUCAUGGGUUCCGGCGACGGUGGCCGGAAAUGAGAAAUUAGUAUACCAAUUUAACCGUCUCUUCUCCCUCAUUACGAAUCCGAUCUCAAAAUUUACCAAUUUCUUACCAAAAUCAUUUAAUUUCAAAUUCUACAUAUAAAACCUAAACAAUCAAAGUGAAAUUAAACAACCAUGAAACACAGUUUCAAUCAAUUUUUAUGGGGGAUUUUGAUCAGCACAACGCAAGGAACAAAGUGGUAUCAAGAAACUAAAAAAAAAAGCGAAAGACUCACGUAACUGGAGCUGGUCUGGCGAGUUCUAAUUACGACGGUGGUUUCCACUUCAGUUUCUGCAGCAACAAGACAAAAAUGCUUUUCUGCUCAAAGACAGAAGCAACAUCAAAUGACAGGAUCAACUGUGUUACUUUUUUGGGUUACUGCAAAAUUGGACAAAUAUGUAACUGAUAUAAUUGAAUUUCUUUUAAGUUUUUCUUUGAAAAAUCACUGUAUAAAUUUGACUGUAUUAGUUACUACUUAAUUGAAAUCCCUCUAUUUUAUAA